rnacentral:rRNA from 1 species
UACGUAGGGGGCAAGCGUUGUCCGGAAUUACUGGGCGUAAAGAGCGCGUAGGCGGCGCGGUACGACCGCUGUGAAAGCCCCCAGCUCAACUGGGGAGGGUCAGCGGUAACGGCCGUGCUAUGAGUGCAGGAGAGGGAAGUGGAACUCCGGGAGUAGCGGUGAAAUGCGUAGAGACCCGGAGGAACACCAGUGGCGAAGGCGGCUUCCUGGUCUGCGACUGACGCUGUGGCGCGAAAGCUAGGGGAGCAAACGGG